UUAAGUUAUUAAGGGCGCACGGUGGAUGCCUUGGCACUAGAAGCCGAUGAAGGACGUUACUAACGACGAUAUGCUUUGGGGAGCUGUAAGUAAGCUUUGAUCCAGAGAUUUCCGAAUGGGGAAACCCAGCAUGAGUUAUGUCAUGUUAUCGAUAUGUGAAUACAUAGCAUAUCAGAAGGCACACCCGGAGAACUGAAACAUCUUAGUACCCGGAGGAAGAGAAAGAAAAUUCGAUUCCCUUAGUAGCGGCGAGCGAAACGGGAAGAGCCCAAACCAAAAAGCUUGCUUGUUGGGGUUGUAGGACACUCUAUACGGAGUUACAAAGGACGACAUUAGACGAAUCAUCUGGAAAGAUGAAUCAAAGAAGGUAAUAAUCCUGUAGUCGAAAAUGUUGUCUCUCUUGAGUGGAUCCUGAGUACGACGGAGCACGUGAAAUUCCGUCGGAAUCUGGGAGGACCAUCUCCUAAGGCUAAAUACUCUCUAGUGACCGAUAGUGAACCAGUACCGUGAGGGAAAGGUGAAAAGCACCCCGGAAGGGGAGUGAAAUAGAACCUGAAACCGUGUGCUUACAAGUAGUCAGAGCCCGUUAAUGGGUGAUGGCGUGCCUUUUGUAGAAUGAACCGGCGAGUUACGAUUUGAUGCAAGGUUAAGCAGUAAAUGUGGAGCCGUAGCGAAAGCGAGUCUGAAUAGGGCGUUUAGUAUUUGGUCGUAGACCCGAAACCAGGUGAUCUACCCUUGGUCAGGUUGAAGUUCAGGUAACACUGAAUGGAGGACCGAACCGACUUACGUUGAAAAGUGAGCGGAUGAACUGAGGGUAGCGGAGAAAUUCCAAUCGAACCUGGAGAUAGCUGGUUCUCUCCGAAAUAGCUUUAGGGCUAGCCUCAAGUGAUGAUUAUUGGAGGUAGAGCACUGUUUGGACGAGGGGCCCCUCUCGGGUUACCGAAUUCAGACAAACUCCGAAUGCCAAUUAAUUUAACUUGGGAGUCAGAACAUGGGUGAUAAGGUCCGUGUUCGAAAGGGAAACAGCCCAGACCACCAGCUAAGGUCCCAAAAUAUAUGUUAAGUGGAAAAGGAUGUGGCGUUGCCCAGACAACUAGGAUGUUGGCUUAGAAGCAGCCAUCAUUUAAAGAGUGCGUAAUAGCUCACUAGUCGAGUGACACUGCGCCGAAAAUGUACCGGGGCUAAACAUAUUACCGAAGCUGUGGAUUGUCCUUUGGACAAUGGUAGGAGAGCGUUCUAAGGGCGUUGAAGCAUGAUCGUAAGGACAUGUGGAGCGCUUAGAAGUGAGAAUGCCGGUGUGAGUAGCGAAAGACGGGUGAGAAUCCCGUCCACCGAUUGACUAAGGUUUCCAGAGGAAGGCUCGUCCGCUCUGGGUUAGUCGGGUCCUAAGCUGAGGCCGACAGGCGUAGGCGAUGGAUAACAGGUUGAUAUUCCUGUACCACCUAUAAUCGUUUUAAUCGAUGGGGGGACGCAGUAGGAUAGGCGAAGCGUGCGAUUGGAUUGCACGUCUAAGCAGUAAGGCUGAGUAUUAGGCAAAUCCGGUACUCGUUAAGGCUGAGCUGUGAUGGGGAGAAGACAUUGAGUCUUCGAGUCGUUGAUUUCACACUGCCGAGAAAAGCCUCUAGAUAGAAAAUAGGUGCCCGUACCGCAAACCGACACAGGUAGUCAAGAUGAGAAUUCUAAGGUGAGCGAGCGAACUCUCGUUAAGGAACUCGGCAAAAUGACCCCGUAACUUCGGGAGAAGGGGUGCUCUUUAGGGUUAACGCCCAGAAGAGCCGCAGUGAAUAGGCCCAAGCGACUGUUUAUCAAAAACACAGGUCUCUGCUAAACCGUAAGGUGAUGUAUAGGGGCUGACGCCUGCCCGGUGCUGGAAGGUUAAGAGGAGUGGUUAGCUUCUGCGAAGCUACGAAUCGAAGCCCCAGUAAACGGCGGCCGUAACUAUAACGGUCCUAAGGUAGCGAAAUUCCUUGUCGGGCAAGUUCCGACCCGCACGAAAGGCGUAACGAUUUGGGCACUGUCUCAACGAGAGACUCGGUGAAAUCAUAGUACCUGUGAAGAUGCAGGUUACCCGCGACAGGACGGAAAGACCCCGUGGAGCUUUACUGUAGCCUGAUAUUGAAAUUCGGCACAGCUUGUACAGGAUAGGUAGGAGCCUUUGAAACGUGAGCGCUAGCUUACGUGGAGGCGCUGGUGGGAUACUACCCUAGCUGUGUUGGCUUUCUAACCCGCACCACUUAUCGUGGUGGGAGACAGUGUCAAGCGGGCAGUUUGACUGGGGCGGUCGCCUCCUAAAAGGUAACGGAGGCGCUCAAAGGUUCCCUCAGAAUGGUUGGAAAUCAUUCAUAGAGUGUAAAGGCAUAAGGGAGCUUGACUGCGAGACCUACAAGUCGAGCAGGGUCGAAAGACGGACUUAGUGAUCCGGUGGUUCCGCAUGGAAGGGCCAUCGCUCAACGGAUAAAAGCUACCCCGGGGAUAACAGGCUUAUCUCCCCCAAGAGUUCACAUCGACGGGGAGGUUUGGCACCUCGAUGUCGGCUCAUCGCAUCCUGGGGCUGUAGUCGGUCCCAAGGGUUGGGCUGUUCGCCCAUUAAAGCGGUACGCGAGCUGGGUUCAGAACGUCGUGAGACAGUUCGGUCCCUAUCCGUCGUGGGCGUAGGAAAUUUGAGAGGAGCUGUCCUUAGUACGAGAGGACCGGGAUGGACAUACCUCUGGUGUACCAGUUGUCGUGCCAACGGCAUAGCUGGGUAGCUAUGUGUGGACGGGAUAAGUGCUGAAAGCAUCUAAGCAUGAAGCCCCCCUCAAGAUGAGAUUUCCCAACUUCGGUUAUAAGAUCCCUCAAAGAUGAUGAGGUUAAUAGGUUCGAGGUGGAAGCAUGGUGACAUGUGGAGCUGACGAAUACUAAUCGAUCGAAGACUUAAUCAA
rnacentral:rRNA from 1 species